rnacentral:snRNA from 1 species
AGAGUGAGACUCUGACUCAAUUUUUUAAAAAAGAAUACACAGAUGAUCAGCAUGGUCCCUGCACAAGGAUGACACACAGUUUCAUGGCACAUUCCAUAUUUUU